rnacentral:lncRNA from 1 species
AAAAAAAAAAAAAAAAAAAAAAAAGAAAGAAGCAUUUCUAUUACAAUUCAAAAAAUGUAUUCUAUUCUGCAAUUUUGCAAACAUCAGGCUAAGGUUUCCAGUGAUAGUAUUUUGUAGUUGAUAGUCUGGUGAUCUGAUAUGGCAGCAGACCAAUAUCUGUAAGUUUUUACCAUUUCUUCAACAUUCAGAAUACCAUUUGGAACAGUUUUUAUAUGCACAGAAUUUUUGUGUCUUAACCACAGGCCUCGAUGGAAAGCGUGUGAUUGUAGCGGCUCUCAUGCUAGUCUUUUUUUUUUUUUAAUUUUUCUUCUUCUCUUCAAACCAUGCAGUAAUAAUGGUAAUAAAUGACUGUAUAUUUUUUCUGACAAAGAAGUUUAAAUCAUUGGCAUCAUCAUUUGAUGUUUUGGGAAGGAAUGUUUUUGAUUUUGUUUUGAGUCAUUGCCAGUUGUCAGCCCUAAUUUGACAUGAAACCUGAAGGUUUGGAGAGGUUUUUUUUAAACUUUUUAUUUUUAGAUAGGACUCUCUACUUUUUAAUGUUUCUGGCUGCUUUGUUAGAGAUCAUAGUCACACAUAUACAUCGCAAGUGUGAGUGAAGAUUUCUUUCUUUCUCUCUAAUAUAAAUCCCUUGAUAUUUAUUUAUUUAUUUAUUUAUUUAUUUUUGCCAUUUCUUGGGCCGCUCCUGCGGCAUGUGGAGGUUCCCAGGCUAGGGGCCCAGUCGGAGCUGUAGCCACUGGCCUACGCCAGAGCCACAGCAACGCGGGAUCCGAGCCGCAUCUGCAACCUACACCACAGCUCACGUCAACACCGGAUCGUUAACCCACUGAGCAAGGGCAGGGACCGAACCUGCAACCUCAUGGUUCCUAGUCGGGUUCGUUAUCCACUGCGCCACGACGGGAACUCCCUCCCUUGAUAUUUAGAUUGCAUUCCCAAGAGAUCACUGUAAUUUCCACUAUCAUUUUUAGGAAUUGACCUGAUUGUACUUAAUUUAUAAAAGUGUAUGCCUAAUUUCAAAGGGUUGUAAGAUUUGUGAUGGAAAAUAAAUCGCUUAGCAAAUAACAUAGUCUUCUACUUCUUAAACUCCAGGCAUUAGACUGAGCUGCACAAUUUAACAAUUCAAUUCAAUAAAUAGUAAUGAACACCUACCACGAUCCAGCCACUGUUAAGAGAUGCCGGGAUUGUGAAGAUGAGUAACACAUUGUCCCUAAGGACGUGGGUUGGGAAUGGGGAAACAGAUGUUAUAGCUAAUGGACAUCUGCAUUGUGCUUUAGCAUUUGCCAUUUAAUUUUAACUCUAAAAUACGGUUUAACAAAGAAGAAUUAUGCUUCCUCCUCUCUUCUUAAUUUUAAGAAUAUCUGCAAAAUCCUUUUAUGUAGAUUGAAUUCCACAGAAUCAAAUUAACGAUAUCCUGUGUUUGGUGAGGAGAAAAAAAUGACUUCCUAUGAUAGUUGCGAUAGUGGUAAUAGUAAUAGCAGAAGUGCGAAUGAUGACAGUGGUAUGUCAGAAACUUAUUGAGCCUCUCUCAUGGAUCAGGUGUGGUCCUAAAUACAUUUUACAAUUCAUCUCACUUUAUCCUUACGUAUUAGUUUAAGUCUUUCCAGAAGCAAAUGCCAAGGCAGAGUCAACAGGCAAGCAUUUUGUAAAACUGCCUUUGAGAGGAAAUGGGGAGUGAGCUGGGAGAGGCUGGAGGGUCUGCCAGGUUUUGAUGCACAUUUCACCUCAGGUGAGAGAGAGAGAGAGAAGGAAACAUUAAGACGUCACUUUGCUGUACAGCAGAAAUUGACAGCACAUUGUAAAUCAACUAUAAUUAAAAAAUUAACGGGAGUUACCAUCAUGGUGCAAUGGAAACGAUUCUGACUAGGAACCAUGAGGUUGCAGGUUUGAUACCUGGCCUCGCUCAGUGAGUUAAGGAUCCCAUGCUGCCGCAAGCUGUGGUUUAGGUCGCAGACACGGCUCUGAUCUGACAUUGCUGUGGCUCUGGCAUAAGCCAGCAGCUACAGCUCUGAUUAGACUCCUGCCGAGUCCAGCUCAGCAGGAUGGGGCUGAAGAACGGGUGCUAUGGAACUUAAGGAGAAAAAAGUUAACAUAAAACAAGACACAGAGACAUUUACCUUAAGUAAAGGUGGAAACCCGGGGACUCACGGUCUCAAGGACCAAAAGCCCCGCCUCAAGAAACCACACUGCUUUUAUUGUGCUCUGAGGAUUACUUCAAGCAAAAGGGGGUUGUAGGUGCAGGGUAUAGGUUUUUUUUAAUUAUUAUUUUAAAAGUCACUUAGCUGGUAAAUGGUUAAACUUUUUACCCUAAACUUUAGGCAUUUAAGAAUCGUUAACAUUCGAGUUAGCUAUCUAUGCAUAGCAUUUCAGAUAAUCCUCACUGUGCUUCUGCAAAGGGCAGGCUUGCUUGUGGCAACCCUGGGUGCCUAGGUUUGCACCUUGGUUCUCUUUUCUAAUGCAUAUUCUGUUUACGGCCACUCAUAAACCACUUGGUCAUGAGGUUCCUCUUUCUCUUAUUCUUUAGAGGACAUAUCAUGCUUGUGCAAAUGGUGUGCCAUUCUGCACAGGUCGGUGGGCUGAGACCAUUGUAUUAUGUCCUCAUUCAGCUGACCCCGCGAAUAACCCAUGCCCUUAGGUCUUUGUUCUUAAGCUUAAGUCAUUUACCAUCACCAAGACUGUUUUUCAAGCAGGAAGACUGGACAAAGUAAGGAAAGACAAGAUGGAGUUUUCAGCAAACAGGCUAAGAAAAUAUUAUAAAAACAUGUCUCGCAACAGACCCCUAGCCUGGGAACCUCCAUAUGU